UGAAUCUGACUCAUUGAACAA
rnacentral:piRNA from 1 species